rnacentral:rRNA from 1 species
AGUGAACGCUGGCGGUAGGCCUAACACAUGCAAGUCGAACGGCAGCACAGUAAGAGCUUGCUCUUACGGGUGGCGAGUGGCGGACGGGUGAGGAAUACAUCGGAAUCUACUUUUUCGUGGGGGAUAACGUAGGGAAACUUACGCUAAUACCGCAUACGACCUACGGGUGAAAGCAGGGGAUCUUCGGACCUUGCGCGAUUGAAUGAGCCGAUGUCGGAUUAGCUAGUUGGCGGGGUAAAGGCCCACCAAGGCGACGAUCCGUAGCUGGUCUGAGAGGAUGAUCAGCCACACGGGAGCGGAGACACGCACCAGACUCCGACGGGAGGCAGCAGUGGGAAAUAUUGGACAAGGGGCGGAAGCCUAAUCCGGCCAAACCGCGUGAGUGAAGAAGGCCUUCGGGUUGUAAGGCCUUUUUGUUGGAAAAGAAAAGCAGCAGUUUAAUACCCCGCUUUUCGAACGGAACCCAAGAAAUAAGCACCGGCAAACUUCUG